rnacentral:rRNA from 1 species
AGAAUCAACGCUGGCGGCGUGCCUAACACAUGCAAGUCGAACGAGAAAGUGGAGCAAUCCAUUAGUAAAGUGGCGCACGGGUGAGUAACACGUGACUAACCUACCCUUGAGUGGGGGAUAACCUAGGGAAACCUGGGCUAAUACCGCAUAAUACCUUCGGGUCAAAGGAGCAAUUCGCUUAAGGAGGGGGUCGCGGCCGAUUAGUUAGUUGGCGGGGUAAUGGCCCACCAAGACUAUGAUCGGUAUCCGGCCUGAGAGGGCGCACGGACACACUGGAACUGAAACACGGUCCAGACUCCUACGGGAGGCAGCAGUGGGGAAUUUUGCGCAAUGGGGGAAACCCUGACGCAGCAACGCCGCGUGGAGGAUGAAGCCCCUUGGGGCGUAAACUCCUUUCGAUCGGGACGAUAAUGACGGUACCGAGAGAAGAAGCCCCGGCUAACUUCGCGCCAGCAGCCGC